rnacentral:lncRNA from 1 species
AAUAAUUUGUAAAGACUGUGGGACUUUUAAAGUUAUUUAAGAUCUUGGCUAGUUUUGUGUCAACUUGACACAGCUGGAGUUAUCACAGAGAAACGAGCUUCAGUUGAGGAAAUGCCUCCAUGAGAUCCAGCUGUAAGGCAUUUUCUCAAUAAGUGAUCAAGGGGGAAAGGCCCCUUGUGGGUGGAACCAUCUCUGGGCUGGUAAUCUUGUUUCUAUAAGAGAGCAGGCUGAGCAAGCCAGGGGAAGCAAGACAGUAAGGAACAUCCCUCCAUGGUCUCUGCAUCAGCUCCUGCUUCCUGACCUGCUUGAGUUCCAGUCCUGACUUCCUUGGUGAUGAACAGCAAUGUGGAAGCGACUGCUCUGCAUUUUGCCUGUGUCUAUGGCCAUCCAGAGGUGGUGACUCUCCUGGUGGACAGCAGCUGUGAGAUUAGUCCAAAGGACAUUAAAGAUGCCACCCCUCUAAUUAAGGCCUCCCAGUGCAGACA